rnacentral:rRNA from 1 species
CCCACACUGGUACUGAGACACGGACCAGACUCCUACGGGAGGCAGCAGUGAGGAAUAUUGGUCAAUGGGCGGAAGCCUGAACCAGCCAUGCCGCGUGCAGGAAGACGGCCCUACGGGUUGUAAACUGCUUUUAUGUGAGGAUAAACCUAGAUUUGCGAAUCUAGCUGAAGGUAUCACAUGAAUAAGGAUCGGCUAACUCCGUGCCAGCAGCCGCGGUAAUACGGAGGAUUCGAGCGUUAUCCGGAUUUAUUGGGUUUAAAGGGUGCGUAGGCGGACUAUUAAGUCAGUGGUGAAAUACAUCAGCUCAACUGAUGCACUGCCAUUGAUACUGGUAGACUAGAAUAUAAAUGGUGCAGGCGGAAUGAAUCAUGUAGAGGUGACAUUCAUAGAUAUGAUUCAGAACACCGAUCGCGAAGGCAGCUUGCAAAGAUAGUAUUGACGCUGAGGCACGAAAGCGUGGGUAGCGAACAGGAUUAGAUACCCUGGUAGUCCACGCCGUAAACGAUGAUAACUCGUUGUCGGCGAUACACAGUCGGUGACUAAGCGAAAGCGAUAAGUUAUCCACCUGGGGAGUACGAUCGCAAGGUUGAAACUCAAAGGAAUUGACGGGGGCCCGCACAAGCGGAGGAGCAUGUGGUUUAAUUCGAUGAUACGCGAGGAACCUUACCUAGACUUGAACGUAGAAGUGAUCAUUUAGAAAUAGAUGAGCUAGUAAUAGACUUUUACGAGGUGCUGCAUGGUUGUCGUCAGCUCGUGCCGUGAGGUGUCAGGUUAAGUCCUAUAACGAGCGCAACCCCUA